rnacentral:rRNA from 1 species
CGCGUAGGAACCUGCCCAGUAGUGGGGGAUAGCCCGGUGAAAACCGGAUUAAUACCGCAUACGCUCUACGGAGGAAAGGGGGCUUCGGCUCUCGCUAUUGGAUGGGCCUGCGUGAGAUUAGCUAGUUGGUGAGGUAAUGGCUCACCAAGGCGACGAUCUCUAGCUGGUCUGAGAGGAUGAUCAGUCACACCGGAACUGAGACACGGUCCGGACUCCUACGGGAGGCAGCAGUGGGGAAUAUUGGACAAUGGGGGCAACCCUGAUCCAGCCAUGCCGCGUGUGUGAAGAAGGCCUUUUGGU